rnacentral:rRNA from 1 species
GUGCCAGCAGCCGCGGUAAUACCGGCAGCUCAAGUGAUGUCCCAUAUUAUUGGGCCUAAAGCGUCCGUAGCUGGCCGACCAAGUCUCCCGGGAAAUCCACCCGCCCAACGGGUGGGCGUCCGGUAGAAACUGGCCGGCUUGGAACCGGAAGGCUCAGAGAGUACGUCCGGGGUAGGAGUGAAAUCCCGUAAUCCUGGACGGACUACCGAUGGCGAAAGCACUUCAGGAGCACGGAUCCGACAGUGAGGAACGAAAGCUGGGGUCUCGAACCGGAUUAGAUACCCGAGUAGUCC